rnacentral:rRNA from 1 species
UGGGGAAUAUUGGGCAAUGGGCGAAAGCCUGACCCAGCAACGCCGCGUGAGGGAAGAAGGGUUUCGGCUCGUAAACCUCUGUCCUAUGGGACGAAGGAAGUGACGGUACCAUAGGAGGAAGCCCCGGCUAACUACGUGCCAGCAGCCGCGGUAAUACGUAGGGGGCGAGCGUUGUCCGGAAUGAUUGGGCGUAAAGGGCGCGUAGGCGGCCUGCUAAGUCUGGAGUGAAAGUCCUGCUUUCAAGGUGGGAAUUGCUUUGGAUACUGGGAGGCUGGAGUGCAGGAGAGGAAAGCGGAAUUACCGGUGUAGCGGUGAAAUGCGUAGAGAUCGGUAGGAACACCAGUGGCGAAGGCGGCUUUCUGGACUGAAACUGACGCUGAGGCGCGAAAGCGUGGGGAGCAAACAGGAUUAGAUACCC